rnacentral:rRNA from 1 species
CCAACAGGGAUUGCCUCAGUAACGGCGAGUGAAGCGGCAACAGCUCAAAUUUGAAAUCUGGAGCCUUCGGCUUCCGAGUUGUAAUUUGAAGAGGAUGUUUCGGUGCGGCCUGGGCCUAAGUUCCUCGGAACAGGACGUCAUGGAGGGUGAGAAUCCCGUACAUGGCUGCAGGCUUGCUUCUAUGUGAAACUCCUUCGAAGAGUCGAGUUGUUUGGGAAUGCAGCUCAAAAUGGGUGGUAAAUUUCAUCUAAAGCUAAAUAUUGGCGGGAGACCGAUAGCGCACAAGUAGAGUGAUCGAAAGAUGAAAAGCACUUUGAAAAGAGAGUUAAACAGUACGUGAAAUUGUUGAAAGGGAAGCGCUUGCAAUCAGACUCGCCUUCAGUUGAUCAGCCUUCCUUCUGGUUGGUGCACUCUGCUGUUGGCGGGCCAGCAUCAGUUGGGGCGGCGGGACAAAGGCGGCAGGAAUGUGGCUCGUUCGCGAGUGUUAUAGCCUGCUGUGUCAUGCCGCCAGCCCCGACUGAGGUCCGCGGUUCGCCUAGGAUGCUGGCUUAAUGGUUGU